rnacentral:rRNA from 1 species
UACGAGGGGGGCAAGCGUUAAUCGGAAUUACUGGGCGUAAAGCGUGCGUAGACGGCUAUCUAAGUCGGGUGUGAAAGCCCCGGGCUCAACCUGGGAAUUGCAUUCGAGACUGAAUAGCUAGGGUACGGUAGAGGGAAGUGGAAUUUCCGGUGUAGCGGUGAAAUGCGUAGAUAUCGGAAGGAACAUCAGUGGCGAAAGCGACUUCCUGGACCAGUACCGACGUUCAGGCACGAAAGCGUGGGGAGCAAACAGG